UAGAGAGCCAGGAUAAAUUAUGGGAC
rnacentral:piRNA from 1 species